UACGUAGGUGGCAAGCGUUGUCCGGAAUUAUUGGGCGUAAAGGGCUCGUAGGCGGUCUGUCGCGUCGGGAGUGAAAACUUACAGCUUAACUGUGAGCGUGCUUCCGAUACGGGCAGACUUGAGGUAUUCAGGGGAGAACGGAAUUCCUGGUGUAGCGGUGAAAUGCGCAGAUAUCAGGAAGAACACCCGUGGCGAAGGCGGUUCUCUGGGACGGUACUGACGCUGAGACGCGAAAGCGUGGGGAGCGAACAGG
rnacentral:rRNA from 1 species